CAAACCUAUAAAAGUAGAAAGUAUGCAAAUAUGAUAUAACUCAUCUACGUCAGGUCAAAGUGCAGCUUAUGAAAAGGUGAUGAUGGGUUACAACCUAAAUACUGACACGAAUUAUAGUUAUAAUAUCUAUAUAAAGGUGGACUUGGAUGUAAUACUGAUUCAAAAUUAAAAUGAAAUUGAAUCUAAGACAUGCACACAUCGCCCGUCACUCUUACCCAAAGGCAAGAUAAGUCGUAACAAAGUAGGUGUAACGGAAGUUGCACCUGU
rnacentral:rRNA from 1 species